rnacentral:lncRNA from 1 species
UUGUCCCCUUCUCCUCCUGCCCCCAAUCCCUCCCAACAUCAGAGUCUUUUCCAAUGAGUCAACUCUUUGCAUGAGGUGGCCACAGUACUGGAGCUUCAGCUUCAGCAUCAUUCCUUCCAAAGAAAUCCCAGGGCUGAUCUCCUUCAGAAUGGACUGGUUGGAUCUCCUUGCAGUCCAAGGGACUCUCAAGAGUCUUCUCCAACACCACAGUUCAAAAGCAUCAAUUCUUCAAUUCUUCAGCGCUCAGCUUUCUUCACAGUCCAACUCUCCCAUCCAUACAUGACCAUUGGAAAAACCAUAGCCUUGACUAGAUGGACCUUUGUUGGCAAAGUUAUGUCUCUGCUUUUUAAUAUGCUAUCUAGGUUGGCCAUAGUACCCAUUAGUGCUAAAUAAAUUAUAUCUUUUAGAAUUGUGCCUGUGUGCUCAGUCACUUCAGUCAAGUCCGAAUCUUUGCAACUCCUUAGACUGUAGAUGUCCAGGCUCCUCUGUUCAUGGGUUUCUCCAUGCAAGAAUACUGGAGUAGAUUGUCAUGCCUUCCUCCAGGGAAUCUUCCCAACCCAAUGAUUGAGCCCAUGCCUCCUGUGUCUCCUGCAUUGUAGGUGGAUACUUUACCCACUGAACCACCUAGGAAG